UACGGAGGAUCCGAGCGUUAUCCGGAUUUAUUGGGUUUAAAGGGUGCGUAGGUUGUUUGAUAAGUUAGCGGUGAAAGUUUGGGGCUCAACCCCGAAAGUGCCGCUGAUACUGUCAGACUAGAGAUUGGUUGCAGCAGGCGGAAUGUGUAGUGUAGCGGUGAAAUGCAUAGAUAUUACACAGAACACCGAUUGCGAAGGCAGCUUGCUAAGCCAUAUCUGACACUGAUGCACGAAAGCGUGGGGAUCAAACAGG
rnacentral:rRNA from 1 species